CCUUAGUGAUUUGUGUUCUUUCUCUCUUUCAUUCAUUUAAUGAAUUUUGACAUUGUAUCCCUUUGGGGAGUUUUGCUACAUAUACACAUGAUCAUAAUUGUUUGUAGACUCUAUACUCACAUGAGAUGUUCUUAUCAGUUAAAUCUUCUAUAUAUGUACCCAAUCAUUCUUACUUGAAUAAUGUUACUGUCCCUAGUUAUUUGUCAACAUUCCUUUCUUGUUUUUAGCAAAGCUUUCUUAUUGAGCAGUAUCUUAAACCAGCAUUCCAGUUUAUCUUUCUUUUGAUUGAUGACUUGUUGUUUAGACUUUUUGUGUUUGCAUCUUAUUCUACUUUUAAAGCUAACCUAUAAACUACUAUUUGUGAUCUAGACUAGAAAUUGUUUUCAUGAACUAUUGUGAAAAUUAAUGCUAUUCAGUAAGCAACAGGUUGGCAGGUUUGACUAUUGCUCAUGCAAAGGGUGAUUCAUGAUUCCUAGGUUUCAACAUUGUGGUAAUCCUAUGGUCUUAAAAUUUAAAUCUCUGUACAGAGUGGGUAAUUAUAAUAAAGCAUCAUAGGUGUCUCAGCCAAUUGAAGUGAGUUUAGGAUUAUGAGACCACUGGUUGGUGGAGAUAACAAAGAACUUUUUAAGGUGUUAGUUAAGCUACAAGUUUAAUCUUGCUCCCUCUCCUUACUUGUGAUCAAAUUGAAUUUUAGUGCAUCUCAUAAUAUUGAUCUCAAUCAUUGUUUCCUUCCCCUCCUCAGCCCUGGUGGAUGUGUCCUACAUUGCAUUUUUCACCUGCAGGAAGGACUGCAAAUAACGUAAACCAAACUUAGCUCCAGAGACGCUAAGACCUGAACAUUACUCUUCUUCUGCAGCUUUUCAUUGCUUUGUCUAUUGUUCAUUUCCUUUGACAUUUAUGACUCCUCUCUUAUGCACCAAUCGGUUCAGCAGCAUCAUUACACCAGGCUUUAAUUUAUUGACCCACUGCCGAUGGAAUGCACUAUCCUUAAAUGCUGAAACACAUCGCUUUUUCCAUCAUUUGCCCUUCGUUGCAGCACUUUAUUUAGUGCCAUUGGCUAUUCCCACUGUCCAUGGCUGAAAUCCUUCUUCUUUCCCCCCACUGCACCCUCGAAUCUUCUUGUGGAGACCAUAAAAUAGCAAAUACUAAAUCUUAAAUUGAACUGCAUUACAGUAAAAUCUGGACUUAAACCUUUUGGGGACAUGCAGGUUCUUUCUUCAAGCCACGAUUUUGAUAAAGUUUUGAUCCAGAGAUUGCGUGAUACUAGUGAUGAGGUUACUGUUAUAGAAAGAAGAGCCAAGUAUUUUAAGGAGAUGAAAAGGGUGUGAAGCUGCUGUUCCCUAAUGAGACUAAACUUCUUUAAGCAAGUGGCAAAGAAAUAAGAAAUGGAAGUACAUAAAUUAUAGAUGUAGCUGGAACUUGGAAACGUAUUCUCUCUUGCUAGCCUUUAUUUAUUUAUUUUUUUAUUGGUUCGGCCAAGAGAUAAAACUAGGAAGAACCCAAAAACCACAACCUAAGAAGGGACUAAACAACAGCAGAAAACAAACAAGUUGAGAAAUCAAUACCAGAGAGGAGCAAGACGUAGAACAAAAGUUAAAAGAGAGGAAGACAUCAACUCCUAGAAAGCGGGUAGGGGGCCUCAUGUCAGCAUUAAAGGUAAGGAGUGUUGAGACAUAGUACGGCAGGCGAGGUGGGACAAGAGCCCAUUUAAUUGGAGAAGCCCCUUUCAACUACCGUCACUGCUGUCCUCCCUUGCUCUGCAUUUUUUUACUUUUCUGCUGCUUGCAAUGUGCAAAAAGUAAUCUUGAUUAUUCUUUUUUUUUUCUUUCGUUCUUCGAAGAACUGUCAUAUUAAAAUAUAUGAUUGAUGGUAUUAAAGCUAACACAAAAUGUAUUAAAUUACUCUGAAAUUUUAGUCUUA
rnacentral:sRNA from 1 species